rnacentral:lncRNA from 10 species
CUGGAGGACCAUGCACCGACCACGCCCGAAGCAGAACCAAGGCCCGCCCUGUUGCCGUGGCGACUGCGCGCGGGGUAGACGCAGGCGCCGCAAGCCGUGAGCUCUCAGUGCAGGCGCAUAGGCUGCGGGGUUGAGGCGCAUUGCGUGCGCGUGCGCGCUGCUCACACGCGGACGGUUCUGUGCGCCGCAAUGGCUGCCCGCGAGUAUCGGAGAGGCGGAGCUCUCAGUCUUUUACAGGACCGGGUCUCCUGAUGCCGCCGGUGGUUCCUCGAGGCCCCCUUCCACGCAUCCGCCGCCGCUGCUUCAUCAGGACUUCAUUUCGGUGACGCAGAGCUUUGGCGAGAGCUACGGCAACAGCAAGAACUGCCGGCGGCUCUUGUGCUGCAGGGCCCCAGUCCCUCUUGGAGCGGAAGCCUCUGGACCUGUUGCUCCUAAGAAAGCAAGCGGCCCCUGACGCGUUGCUGUGGCCUGGUUUGACCCUCGUAGCCAGCCCAUGUUCUGUGAGGCAUGAAGCGCCACGCAGACACCACGACAAAGUGAGAUGAACUAAGACCUCUUCUUGAUUCUAAGCAGGGAACGCACAGCUCACCCUGUCACAUGCAGCGAUCAUAAGCUGAGAAUUACCCUCUUCCUUCCCACAGCGUCUAAUCUUUUUUUAUGUUUUUGUGGCAAGGUCUCGCUUAGUCGCCCAGGCUGGAGCGCAGUGGCGAUCAUGGCCCACUGCGGCCUCGACCUCCUGGGCUCCAGCGUGCGUCUAAUCUAGAACCAAAUCCUCCUUCCUUAGAUCAUCCCCCAAAUCACCCAACUACAGGUGAAAUCCUGUAAUAGUUUCCUCCGAACACCCUGUUGCUGAGACACCUCAACGUCUCAACCUGGUGUGUUUGUACGUAGAGUAAAAGACCCAACUUGUUUAACUACAGGCGUGUUUGCAGUGGUCUUUGGCUUAAGGGCGUUAUAGACUCUCAGUCGGAGAGUCACUGAGAUUCAGUUGAGACUCUCAACUCAGAGCAUGCCUUUCUGAGUCCCUUUUGUGUCUGUCUCUGGGAGCACAACCUAUUCUUGGCUGGGAAGAAACAGGCAUAUUCUUUGUUUCAUUCUCCUUGAACGCCUACCGUGGCCAGUUGCCGUUUUAGUUCUGACUGCAGAGAUGAAUAAAACAGAUUUGUAGGAGAGGCUGGUGAGAAGCCAGCCACAGACAGGCAGAGGCAGGUGGCACAUGUGUACGUCCUGUGUGG